GAUGAACGCUAGCUACAGGCUUAACACAUGCAAGUCGAGGGGAAACGGCAUUGAGUGCUUGCACUCUUUGGACGUCGACCGGCGCACGGGUGAGUAACGCGUAUCCAACCUUCCCAUUACUGUGGGAUAACCUGCCGAAAGGCAGACUAAUACCGCAUAGUCUUCGAUGACGGCAUCAGAUUUGAAGUAAAGAUUUAUCGGUAAUGGAUGGGGAUGCGUCUGAUUAGCUUGUUGGCGGGGUAACGGCCCACCAAGGCGACGAUCAGUAGGGGUUCUGAGAGGAAGGUCCCCCACAUUGGAACUGAGACACGGUCCAAACUCCUACGGGAGGCAGCAGUGAGGAAUAUUGGUCAAUGGGCGCGAGCCUGAACCAGCCAAGUAGCGUGCAGGAUGACGGCCCUAUGGGUUGUAAACUGCUUUUGUAUGGGGAUAAAGUCAAUCACGUGUGAUUGUUUGCAGGUACCAUACGAAUAAGGACCGGCUAAUUCCGUGCCAGCAGCCGCGGUAAUACGGAAGGUCCGGGCGUUAUCCGGAUUUAUUGGGUUUAAAGGGAGCGUAGGCCGGAGAUUAGGUGUGUUGUGAAAUGUAGACGCUCAACGUCUGACUUGCAGCGCAUACUGGUUUCCUUGAGUACCACAACGUUGGCGUAAUUCGUCGUGUAGCGGUGAAAUGCUUAGAUAUGACGAAAAACUCCGAUGGCGAUGGCGGCUGACUGGAGCGCAACUGACGCUUAAGCUCUGAAGGUGCGGGGGAUCGAAAAGUGAUUAUAUACCCUGGUAGUCCAAGGGCGAAUUCCUCAGUGGAUUUUUGCUUAUCAUUCCCGUCUGCGUCGAGAGGAAGCACGGGACCAAUGUUUGUUCCUUUUGUGUGGGUAAAUAUUGGGUUGUUGACCUAUGGUUUGUGCUGGUGUUGUGAUGUGGUUGUUCUCGGGUGUUUGGGGUGGUGUUGAUCAAGUGAAUGCGAGAGUGUGAUGUGUGGUUUUUGGGGUUGUGUGUAUUUGCUAGUUGUGUGGGUGGUUGCUGGAUGUGGUGAUGUGUGUGUAUUGUUGUUGAUGACUGUGUUGCUGUGAAUGUGUGUGUGUGGGAUGUGGUGCGUGUGUGAGUUGUGUGUGA
rnacentral:rRNA from 1 species